UCAUGACUCUGAAUGUUCUUUGUGAGACCUGACCUGAUCAUGCUGGAGCACACCAAAAUGAGAUGGUUUCCCCUAGGUCUGUCCAAUUUGGUGUGCCAUAGGAACCACGCUGAAGAGCGCUGUGACAAUUGGAAAACAGCUACUGGGGAGGAAGAACUGGCUGGGUGGUCUGUAAUGGCAACAUUGUUGUUAAAGAAGAAAGACUAUCCAGAAGCUUGACUGCGAUGAUGUGUACUGGCCCUUUGGGGUUCAGAGGAAAACCUUCCUGGGCUGACAGCAGACUGCAUCAAGCUGGUCCUUGAAAAGAAGCCCCCAAUACCCAUGUCCCUGUACAUCAGCAUAUUAUUCAAGCCUUGAGGGGUUAAACAGAUUGGUAUAUUUGGCAGGUGAAGGGCCUUGCUAACCUGGCAGUUAGAAUUAUAGUCUGCUUACCUUGCCUGAGUGGGGCCAAGGAGCUCACAAGUAAGCCCAGAUAUCUAGAAAAGGUGAUUCUCCUUUUUGUGAAGUUUAUUUACUUUGUUAUAUUAGUUGAAGAGCAUAAAAGACUCCUAAGCAAUCUGAGAUCAGAGAGAGAGUGGUUCUUGGCUCUUAUGUUUUUGUUUGGUUUAGGCGGUUGAGAACAAAAACCACAGCAUCCUAGGAAAGUUGUGUGUGUGUGAAAGUUUUUUCAGCAUCAUUAGGCAGAGGGUCUGGUGUAUGUUGUGUGGAGGGAGAGUCAGGGUUUAGUUACAAAACAAACUAUGUACUGCAGUUUUGUUAGGUAACCAAGAAGCCUGAACUAAUAUAGCAUAUCAAUAGGUGCAUUCUAAACUAUGAAAUUGCUUUUCAAUAUGCACCAGAUUGUGUCCCUUUAAUGAAGUAAGGUAGUUUCAUGUACUACACAAGUCUAUGUGGUUUUACAAUACACGUUUUUUUUUUUUUAAUAAAGGAAGUCAACAAUAUUGCAAGUGUGAAAUGGGAAACUGAUAAAAUUGGGGGAACAGUGAAAUUGACUACACAAAGUAUUUUCAAAUGUGCAAGUAAACUAACACUUAGUAAGUAAAAUAAUUCAGACAGAAGUGAAGCGUUCAAGUUUAUGGUACCCAUUCAGUUGUGAUUAUUUAAAUAUUUACCUUUUAAGCCAGCUUAACAAUAACACUGGAACUGAUCCACUAGCUUGAUAUUUAAAUACUAAGGCCUCAGUUCUACAACUGGAUCUGCAUGGAUGGACCUUUGUGCCCAUAGGGUAUAUCCUGUUGAUUUCUGGCCUGCCCAUGCACCUCUGUCUGAAGAAUCAGGGCCUUACUGUUUAGUUAAAAUAUAAGAAUUGUUGGCAGAGAAGAUUAAAUAUUUAAAGAAACCUUUGUCAAAUUUAAAAAAGUUACACUUAGUUAUAACACCUAACUAUUAUAACAGAGUAACAACCCUUUUCCAAAUUAUUUACUUUGGGCAUCAGAUUGACUAUACAGAGUGCUAGCGAUUUCCCUAUUUGCCCUGAUGUAGUUAGUUUCAUCCUUCACACAGCAAUAGGGUAGAGAAACAUUUUGGCUACUAACAAAAUGAUUGUAAAGCCACAAAAACUGGCAGCUCUACUCUUGAGUAGAUGUACCCUAAAACUAUUUUUUAACUCAGCUCAUUUAAAAAAAUAAUUUCAAGCUGACAGUGUCCCAUUAACCUAUAUUACUGUCCAUAUCAACCCAGAUUUGGAUUUAAUAAUUAUCUCACAAAAACUGAAGCUAGCUUAAAAGUGAACUACAAGGUGCUAACUUAGUGUGCCACAGAAUUCUGCAUCAUAUCCAGACUCGGUUUUGUUAUAUGCCAUAAAUUUCUUUGCUCCUUGAUUAUGAGCUUCAGCCUAAACACCUGCAAUUAAGUGUCCAAGAAGCCAUUACCACCAGCCUAUGUUUACUUGCAACAUCCCGGUUUGACUAAUUUACAAUAUUAUCAAAUGUUGAUUUUUAAAACAAGCUACUUCUAAAAGUUAAUUGCACCUCUGAAAAGAGCUAAAUCAAUGAGUCACAGAAAAUAGUCUCUCAAUGACUCCUUAAAUAGAUCGCUUGUAAAGUGACCUUGGAGAAGUCAGUCUAUCCACAAUAAAAUAAAAGGCAAUUAAAGGAAGGGUACAAUUUUAGUUCAUUUUAGAAGUGAACUGAAGUUAACUAAAUACAGCUAAGUAACUACCAUUGGCAAGCAAUUAGAAUUAAAGUACAUAAUUAACAACCAAGUUAAAGCUAAAAGAUCACAACUCUUUGUCAAGUAAGAAGUAUUUUACCUUGCUUUAUAUCCAAGAGAGCAAGUGAGUGCUUUACCAAGCCUCCAGAUGGUAAAGAGAGGCCACUGCACAGGUUAUAGUCUUCCCAGUAUAUCUACAAAUAGCAUUACUGAUUUUAUCCACUGAUUAAUUCUCCACUUUUAAAACUUACGUUCCAUAUACGACAUUCUUCUGACACAUGAAAAACAAACUGCUAUGCCCUGAACUAAAAAUAACCAACAAAGCUCAACUGCAAGUCACCCAGCAACGCUCUUCAUUACACUUUCACAAAACAAUCUCCCUAAAACAAGUGUUCAGAGUACAAUGAAAACAAAAUUUCAGAUUUAAUGUCAGAAAUAAAAUGGAUUUCCUGCAGUAACAUAGCUCACCAUAAACCAUUAAGCUAAUAAGCUAACAAAUCUGCUUUUGAAACAAGAGAAAGACAAACAUUUUAAAUUGGACACACUUCAGGUAGCAAGCCAAUAACAACUCAUCCUUAUAAUCUGAACCUCUACUCAGAUUCACUGCUACUCAGAACAGGGUUAUGCCCUCAAAACUUGUUAGAAUGACAAUCCCCUUAAUUAUCUGAAGUUCUUCAAUGUGCUCUGAUAAUUGAGACUAUACUGUAAGGAAAAGGGCCAUGCAAAUCAAACAUACAGAAGAAGUGACUCCUUGCCAAUCUCUCUUCUACAAUUCUAUUAUUUUGUGCAUGUAGAAAAAACAGACUACUGCAGAGAUUAGAGGUAAAUCCAUGGAGGAAA